CGAGAUUACAUCCCUAAAGAUGAUCCACACUCAACUUUGCACUGGAAUAUCUACAACAGAAUGCAGUGUGAGGGAUGUCAAGUCAUCUGGGAACAACACUUUCUUAAGAAUUCAUGUCAAUUUCUGCGUAUUUUGGAAAGGUCCUUAAUUGUUUGCUGCCUCUGCAAGCUAGACAUCUCUUUCAGCAAAUGGAGACCCAGAUGGUGAGGCAAGAGAAGGAACGACCAAAUUA
rnacentral:lncRNA from 1 species